CAGCCAACCCCAUGAAAGUCACUGUCCUUGAAAAGUCUAGCCAUGUCCUUUUUUCUCAUGCCCCUCAUCAGCAGCUGGCAUCAGCAUGAAAAAGCCCCCCCAAAUCCUCUAUCCACAAUGCCCAAUUCUUUGCUGAGCUCUAGACCUUGGACCCAGCUGCUCACAGGCUAUCUCCACGUGAAAGUCUGUAGGUGUCACACUCACGUCAUGAUCCCAGUUCCCCUCUCUGCCUGUCCCUGUCCCUGUUCUCCCAGGCUCAAGGUGUCUUCCUCAACCCUACCACCUGUCUCUUCCCUCCAUCCUGCACAGGGCGCCAGGAGCCAUCCGCCUUCCCUGUUGCACAAGUCUCAACCCUCUUUGUCAUUGCCUUUGUGCAGGAGUUUCGUGGGUCUUGCUUCUUUCACCUCCUCAGACUGAUCUCACCUUCAGUCCUGCCUCCUUCCAGCCCGUCAACCUCAUUCCCGUCACAUUCCAAACAGCCACGUCUCAGCGAAAACUUCCGAAGCCUUCUUCUUGCCUCUACCACCGGAGAAACUCGCAGGCUUUGCUCCUGGCCUACCGUCCUGCCCUCUUCCCUCCAAGAAGGCAGCAUCUCGUUUGUGUCUCCCCUGCACGUGGAACUGUACCAGCGCUGUGAGGGCUCCAUCUCUUCGCCCACAAUGCCCCUGUGCUGGAAGCAUUCCUUCUCCACUUCUCCAUCCAGGGAUCUCCUACAGAUAUGUCCUUCAAGGCUUUGUUCAACUCACCUGGUUCCAGAAGCCCAUCUUGAUGCUGUCAGAUCCCCGUUCAGACACCUCCCGGUCCCUUCGCCCCUUCCUGGAACAGUUAACAUAGCACUGAUGAUACUGGAUUAUAGUGCCUGGUUAUCUGUCUCCCUAACCCAGACUGUGCAAGUUUUAGCAGAAAAAACAACCUAUUUUUUUCCUUACUCCCAGCAUGUGGCACAGUGCCAGCCACAUAGGAGUCAUUCAAGAAGCUAUAUGUUAGUAGUGUAAUAAGAAGGAGAAUAUUAAUAAAAAUAAAAACCCAUAUUUGAAUAAUGCUUAUUUAAGGCACAAAAAAUGUUUUCACAAGCUUUCUCACAUUUGAUCCCCAAAGCAAUCUAUGUAGGUGAGUAGGACUGGAAAUGUUAGCCUCAAAGCAAAUGUGGAUAAUUUGUCUCAAAGAGAGUAGACGGCUUGGCCAAGGUGGCAGCUGGAAAGUGACAGGGGGGGGUCUCUCCAGAACCCACAUCUUCUGGCCAUAGUGCCACACUUCCCUCUUUCUCUGCAGAAAUGGACGAGACUGAGCCCCACUCCCUAAGCCCAUCUCUAUGGUUGCACGAGUACCCCUUCCCUGCUGAUGGCCAAGAGAAAACAAACCUAGAUUGAGUCUCUGCGGUCCAUGCACUUUCGCUACAUACAUAACUAGAACCAACUUGGAGCAGCUGGAAAUCCGUUCUCCCACUCCUGCUUGGCUACCUUAGCAGGUGUAAUGGAAUCUCUCAGGGCGUGAAAACUGCAGGGCUCAUCCCUCCUUCUGUCCACUGAGUGGCAGAAAAAUUAGUGCAAUCAAAGGCAAGCUUCUUUCACAUGUAAAGCUUAAUGAUCCUCAGCACAAAUGAGUUGUCAGGAAUUUUUCAGAACCGAAAAUCAUAGAAAGAGAAUGGGAAAAUAAAUUCUAUCCAAUUCUGAAGAUUCUAGUUGUGUGGCCGGUUUGAGAAAGAGUCCUUCUUUAAUAGGUGAAUGAAUCACACUGUGACCCAUAGAAACCAAUGGAAAAAAUCAGAUACGGGUAUAACAAGGGGUUCUAAAGCACCAGCCAUGUUGGGAAGGCCAUCCAGAAAAGCAGCCAAUACAGGACAGCUGUUUGCAGUGUCCCCCGGCCACUGCAAAGCAGUUGCUGAAUUUCCAGAUAUAGCUUGUGCUAUCUCUGGGAGUUCCCUGGUGGCCCAGGGGUUAAGGAUCUGGCAGUGUCACUGCUGUGGCAUGGGUUGGAGCUCUGGUCUGGGAACUUCCACAUGCCAAGAGUAUGACAAAAAACAAAACAAAACAAAACAAAACCCACAAACAAACAAAACAAAAAAUAGCUCUCUGUCGGGGCUGCCUAGUCAGUCACCAAGAAUUUGUGUAGCACCUACUCCGUUCAAAGCACUGUUCCAGGCACCACAGUUUCUGCAAUGAACAAAACAGACCAGGCCACACCUCUUAGCGAGCACACAUCCCACUGUGGAAAAGACAAUAAAAAAAGAAAAGAAAUGAAGGAGAGAACGUCUGCUAAUGGUAAAUAUUAUGAAGAGACUAAAAUCGGGUGCUAUGAUAGAAGGGACAGAAGUGGGGCUGGGGUAUCAUUUAGAAUGGAUGAUCCCAGAAGGUCUCACUGAGUUGGUGACUCCUGAAGCCAACAAGGCCAGCAAAACAAAAAGCCCAGCCUCAUAUUGCAGGCCCAACAGUGAAGGUGGAAAAUGUCACCUCUGGCCAGCCUGGGUACAGUUUGUGGUACAGGGCCACAGAGAACCAGUGUCAUUGGCUGCUGUUUCACGACAAUACAAUUACUAAGACCUUCUCUACAGUUUGUGAAGCACUUGAAAUAUUCAAAGUAGAAGCUAAUUCAGAGAUAUCUGGUCCAAUCCCUUUGUUUCCUGCAAGAAGAGGUGGGGUCUGUGGUGCGGCCUGGCUUUGUGUUCAUGUGUUCAUUCCAUAGCUGUCUUCUGAGCUUCACCUUGUACACGAUAUGACCCCUGGGGAUGCAGAGAUGAACAGAUAUGAAAGCCUUCAAGAAGGUUCCCCUCUAGAGCAGGACAUGGUAUGUGGACCACAUGGAGGGCAAAGAGCUGAAAAUCAUCCAGGACCCCACCUGGAUCUAGCCAGGGGCUCAGCCAGAUCUAGAACCCAGGCCCCAGAUCUCCAGUCCUAGGCUUUUUCUGCUUUGAUUCUUCCCCCUCCCACCCAAUAUUUCAAGCGGUUUGUUUUGUUGUUGUUGUUGUUGUGUCUUUUUUUUUUUUUUUUUGGUCUUUUUGCCAUUUCUUGGGCUGCUCCCAUGGCAUAAGGAGGUUCCCAAGCUAGGGGUCGAAUCGGAGCCAUAGCCACCGGC
rnacentral:lncRNA from 1 species